CACUUCCUCCUCCUUUGCUGGAGCAAGACGCGUGUUUACACAGACUCAGAUUCAUCUUCUCACCACACAGGACUGCAGCGUCACCUCGAACUUGAACGCCUGGCGGAGGAGGCCGAAGUUUCGCGGAGAGCCUCAGUAGGACAGAGAAUAGAAAGAGGAGCCUGGUUUGUUCGUUAGCUUUCCUCAGCUCACCAGUUUCCUGGAGAAAGCGGAUUCCCUCCAACUCCAAGGCUGGCUUGGCAAGCAGCUGCUGCUGCUCCUCCUCAUCCAGGUCCAUCUUCCAGGCCGAAGCUGCUCUUUUUGAGGUCGGAGGAUCCGGGAUGCUGACCAGCUAAUGCAAACACUUCAUUCGCCGUGCCGAGGGGGAGACCUCCGCACCUUCGACCAAUGCAAAGUCGAAGCGUCAGCCAGAAGUAACCAAUCAAGGAGAAAGGGGGCGGGCGCUGACGGCUGGAGGAGGUGGAGAAGCGAAGAAGCGGGAGAAAGGGGAGCGGAGUGGAGUCGAGUCCGGAAGAAGACAACUUUUACCUCCUUGUGAGGAAUCUGAUCCAAAAAGCUUCUAGAACCUGGCAGUUAACCCACGCGUUUGAUUAAAAAAUGUAUUGAACCUCA